GGGGGUUGCAGAGGGGAAACCUGGAAGGAGGAUCACAUUUGAAGUGUAAAUAAAUAAAAUAACCAAUAAAAAAAUUGGAAAGAAAGAAAGUGCUUAAGGACCUGGAAUCUGACUCCUAGCACCCACAUAAAAAGCUCCAAGUGUUGGUAUGCAUCUGUAGCCCGGCACUGCAGGGUGGAGACACAGUUGAGUCCCCAGAGCUGCCUGGCCAAGCCAUUCUAGGCAGAUUGGUGAGUACCAGUAAGAGAUUCAGUGAGAGGUGAGACUCUUAUCUCAAAAAAUAAGAUUAAGGAAAAUAAGAAGAAAAAAUGGCUUCACUGUUAAUAACCUUUUCUGCUCUUGCAGAGGCCCCCAAGCCUGAUUACUAGACCUGAGGUUGGUUGGCUUACAACUGCCUGUAACCCCAGCUCUAGGGCAAUUCUCCAAGCCUCUGACCUCUUUCAGCACCUGUGCUUAGGUGCACAUUCACAACAUAGGGGAUAGCUCUGUAGCUAAAAACACUGGCUGCUCUUCCAAGGGGUUAGGUUCAAUUUCCAGCACCCAUGUGGCUACUCACAACUGUUCAAAAGUCCAGUUCCAGGGCAUCCACUGCCUCUGUGGGAAUUAGGCACACUUGUGGUGCGCAGACAUACAUAUAGACAAAACAAUUAUUAAUUUGGGGCUUAAGUUCUAGAGGUAGUUAAAGUCCAUGACUAUCAGUCUCAGAAGAGUCUUUAGACCUGUAAACUGUUGAGACUGAACAACUGUAGGGACUUUUGAAGUUGAACUGAUAUAGUUUGCAUUAUGAUAUAGCUAUAAGUCUAUAGGAACCAAGGAGUAGAAUAUGGUGGCUUAUGUGAGAACAGCUUCCAUAGGCUCAAAUAUUUGAGUGAUUGAUCCACAGUUGGUGGACUGUUUAGGAAGGAUUGGAAGGGUUAGCUCUGGUGUUCUCUGUCGUGUGCUUAUAGAUCAGAAGUAAGCUUGUAGCUACAUUCCAGGGUCCUGCCUUUUCCCCACCAUGAUGGUCAUGAACUCUACACCUCGGAAACUGUAAGCAAGCCUCCAAAACUCUUCUAUAAAUUGCCUUGGUCAUGAUUGCUCUUGGCAAUAGAAGAGUGACCAAAACAUACCCAUACUUAAAUAUUUAAAAUAAGGCGCUGUUGAGGAAGUCACUUGAAGUCAACCUCUGGCACACAAGCAUACAUCUGCAUAUACAUUUGCAGACAAUAAUAGUAUGUACCGGCCAAGCAUGCAGGUGCGCAGGCACACACACACAGAGAGCUUGGAAGAGCAGAAGGAAAUAAGCCUGAUAUCUGAAUAAAAAUGCUGAUUUCUUUUUUAUAACUUUGAAUGUAUUGCUUAAUUUGUAAUCUGGAAGAAACUGGGAGGGUAGUGCUUGCCUACCACACCCAGCGUCUCUAACUUGAUCCCUGAGACAGAAAGAUAAGAAACAAAGAGAAGGUGACAAUGUAUGCUGAAAAGAGAGAUGUAAAGGUGUGACUUGUAUGGGACUAAUGUUUUCCUUCUGCCACCAGGGGGCAGACCGAGCCGUUCCUGUCCUCAUCAUAGGCAUUUUGGUGUUCCUACCGGGAUUUUACCAUUUGCGCAUCGCCUAUUAUGCAUCCAAGGGCUACCGGGGUUACUCCUACGAUGACAUUCCAGACUUUGAUGACUAGCCUUCGCCUCAGCCUUGAGAAGAGUCGCACACAGUGCAACCACUUUAAGACAUCAAGCAAGAACUCUGGCUAAGGGCUGAAGAAGUCUACAAUUUGCAGAUGUUUAGCAAAACAAUGGCCAGAUUGUAUGAGUCCUUCUCCAAAACGCUCCUGCUUUAUAAUUAGCUAAUUAGGACAUGGUAUGUUUUCAUCUCCUGGCCCUGGCUAAACUUGACAAGUUUUUCCACAUGAGUGUGCAUCAUGUAAGAGUUGUGAAGCUAACUGUCUGGGAAGGCAGCCUGUUCUAUAGUGGAAGGUGUUACCCUCCUUAGAGCUGAACCUUUCUUUUGUCUUCCAUUGUCUGCUUGGUUUUGUAGCAUAAUGGGAAAUGUAUUGUCUAGUUUCUUAUUACUAAGUAAUUUAUUUUUAAAAUUACCUAUCUUAUCUCUCACCCUCUCCUCUACCAUUAUAUCCUAGUAAAAUUAAAGUAUCUGUCUUACCU
rnacentral:lncRNA from 1 species